rnacentral:lncRNA from 1 species
CCCUGACCUGGGGUAAGUCCUGCUGGUUUGAAUUGUGUGAAGUUGUCAAAGGUUGCUUUGCUCUCCAGAGCUUGGCACCAGCCCCACUGAAAUGUGAUGCCAUUGGUUUUCAGUAAAGGUUCCUUUCUGCAGGGCUGCAAACACUCAGAUCAGCUGCUACUGUGUAUACACAACUAGGGAACAAACCAACCGGCACAUUUAAAGCAGCCUUUUUAACCCCGAGACUUUCCAAGAUUUCUUCCUCCCCCAGGAAGUUUCCUUUUUUUCUAUUGUCAGACUUAGCACCGUGCUCUUGUAAUCAGAUCAGAGAGCUAGGAUCUCUGCUGCACAGUAGAGAGGCUUCCUUAAGAUAUUUGUCCUUGAAACUGCACCAAACUCUUGGAAGAACCCAGAACCUUUUUCUAGGGAGCCUUAUAAUAUUCAGAAGAGGACAGAGAAGGAGACUUCCAGAGCUGAAAGGGU